rnacentral:ncRNA from 1 species
AGGAGGCAGAGGUUGCGGUGAGCUGAGAUCGCACAAUUGCACUCCAGCCUGGGUAAAAAGAGUGAAACUCUGUCUCAAAAAAAAAAAAAAAAAAAAAAGUUUACCUAAGCUAUACUGAUAUCUAGGGUUGGUUAAUUUUGUGCCAGCCACUGCGGCCAUACAAUUAACCCAAGAUCACAGAACUCAGGGUAAAGAGUGUUUAAAGGCUGCCCUCAAUAAAGCUAAACUCCAUCUAAGUUGUGAAAAAACUCCAGCUGAAAUAAAAUAUACUAUGAAAGUGGCUUUAAUACCCUGCAGACACAAUAGCUAAGACCCAAAGUGGGAUCAGAUACCCCACUAUGCUUAGCUCUAAACUCUAAUAGUUACAUUAACAAAAGUAUUCACCAAAGGUCUACAAGCAGCAGCUUAAAACUCAAAGGAGCUGGCCGUGCUUUGAGGAGCCCGCUGCAUAAUCGAUAAACCCGAUGCACCUCGCCACCUCUUGCUUUUAUACCACCAUCUUCAGCAAACCUUCAAAAGGUUACAGAGUAAGCACAGAUAUACACAUAAAAAACGUUAGGUCAAGGUGUAGCUCAUGAGAUGGCAAGAAAUGGGCUAGAUUUUCCACACCCAGAAAAUCUCACGACAACGUUUUAUGAAAUCUAAGGAUUUAGCAGUAAACCCAGAGCAGAGCGCUUGGCUGAAUAAGGCCAUGAAGCACACACACCGCCCAUCACCCUCCUCGAAUACUACUCUAAAUCGCUCAUACUGAUAAUUUUCCAUACACAUACAGAGGAGAGACAUUGGAGCAUGUCAAGCGUACUGGAAAGUGUGCUUGGACAAGCCAAGGU